CCAGGACCAAUUUCCUAAGAAUCGCUGCCAUUAGCAAAGGAGAGCCCAUCCCAUGGAAAAAGUAUAAGCCAGUUGGAACUCUAAGGAAGGCCAAGUGCAGUGCUUUGGCACGGUCCUCAGUAGCAGUCAAAAUAUAAGUAUGUGAAGGCCUGUACUCUACGUCGUCCAUGGUAAAAAAGGCCAACACAACCAGUUACAUAAACUUGUUUAUAAAAGUUAGCCAAAUUCAGAAACAGAAAGACUGAAUAGUUCCGAACAAAAAGGUCUACUUAUACCACACAAAGAAGAGAAUGGAAUCGGAAAUUAAUGGACCAAAAUUGGUUUGCUAGAAAUUAGAUGUAAAUGGUGGACAAGAUAAUGGGGCAAUGGGUUAUUGCACCUAUCGCUCCCUUUUGUGGGUCUUUAAAAAAGGCUUCAAAAGGAGGAUCAAACAGGUCAGAGGACAGCAGGACAAAAAGGAAUCAGCUGCUCCAUCAUGGCUGUCACCCUUCCAUCUUCUGGGAUCCCAAGCACCACUGUGACACCAUUUAGCCUUCAAUCUCCUGAUCCUGAGACUAGAGCCAGAGAGAGAGGAGGAAACCGAUUACAUCACCACCUCUACCAGCAUGGGUGAAGUCCUAAACAUCAGCUGGGAUAUCAGACUUUGGUUCCUGCUUGUACUCCCUCCCUCAUGUGUCCUUUUUCUUCUCCUCCCCUAUUUCCCCUCUUUCCUAUCCGUCUCUUUAUUGCCUUCUGUUUAGUAAGAGCCUACUUUAGCUGGUCAAGAGUGUUUCUUUCAGAAGUGCUGUGACCAAUGAGGCAGCUAAAAGGAAUGUGGUGAUGCUGAUACAAGUUUGCCAACGUCUCAGGGUGGCUGAUUGGACUGUGCCUGGGUUUCUGCAGCAGCAAGGUUGAAAGUAAGAAUCAGCACCAAACACAGCCUGAGGCAAAAUGGUUACACAGAAAUUCAGAAAGAUAUCAAGUUUCUACCUGGGAAGGAGGACAAAUACAGAACCCUUAUCUGAGCUUUUGCCGAGAUCUUCUGUCAGUUGUGUCUGGAGAAUGCUCCCCAAAUUUUCAGCUGCCUCCAAUUACCACAGCAAUAACCAGAAAUGCUUGCUUCUAGAACGUGUUUCACCUCCAGCGGCUGGAUCUGACAUUUGUGGGAAGUGUCUUCGGUGUCGCUAAAUUUUUAUUAGGGCUGUCGAUUAAUCGCAGUUAACUCAUGCGAUUAACUAAAAAU